UCUCUCUCUAGUCAACAACUUCUCAUCCAUCCACUUUCUAGGUCUCUCUUUCGAUACCCCCACCACCCGUAACCGAGCCCUAAUCAAAUCGCCGCCUUCCUCCUAAUCAAAUCGCCCAUCACUCGAACAAUUUCUGAUUCGCGUCGUUGGUGUCUGGUUUCUCAUUGGACUGCUCCUGAGGCUUGAUUGAGUCAACGAAGUGAGACGAUGGAACUCAUGCCAUGAAAAAAGUUCUCAUUCAGAAUAGUGAACAGUUGGAGUUGGUGAAGGAGGAGAUCCGAGUUUCAUCACUUUUCACUCAUCCUAAUCUUGCUUCCACUUCUUGAUCAUGCCAUUAUUUCUGUUAAGAAAUGGUACCCAUGGAGAUAGAUGAAAAGGAGACUGAUCGGUAUUUGGUGCUGUUGAAAUUUGAACUGGGAUUUCAUCGAACAGAGGGCUGACUCUUUAUCAUCUUCUGUGAUAUCUGAUCAUAGGGUUGAAUUAAUUUGUGGGUUAUCAUUUUGUAACUGCGCCUUCAUGAUACUAUAGCUUGCAUUGAGUUCAAUUAUGGAGUUUUGAAUCAUCUCAGCCUCCUUUACUUAUUUAGGUAUAAACUCUGUAUUGUUCUUUACAUGAUUUUGAUAUAGAACUAAUGUGUUUGUCGUGUUUGGGCCUUAUGAUCAUUGAACUCUGCUUUUUGAAACAUGCAGUCUCAUUGAUUGUGCUUUUGGGAAAUCAAUAUUUCCCAGGUUAUUGGGUUUUGUCGUUGAAAUUUUUGGCUUUCGGUAUCUGACAAUUUGUGUCUUUUUUAAUGUUUUGUUGGCAUGGUUUUCUGAUUUCGUUUUUUGGCUAUCUGGGAUUUGUAGGGUAGCUAGGUGGAGAUCUUCUCCUUGCAAGAGUAAAAACAGAAGGCUUUUACUUUCUCUGUGAGUAAGUUUCAGAAUUUUUGGGUCUAAUUCUGAGUUUUAUUGUAGCUUUCUGUAUAGGUGAGAGAUGAGUUUCUAUGGAGAACUUACGAAUAGGGCUGUGGAGACUGAUAUGCCAGUCAUGGUUCAGGUAUUGAGGCCAAAACUCCCACUGGGUUUUUGUUAAAGUUUUUGAAUUUAUUCUGUUAUGAGGUUCAGUUUUGGUGAGUUUUAAUAAGUUUGCUAAUGAUAAUGGUUCAAUUAGUCUUAUGAUUCAGCAUAUGUCAUGUAUAAGUCAGAUGGUAAUCCAUGCUCAAGAAUUUAAAAAAAAAACGUCAAGUUAUGUCAUGCUUGGGUGUAGAAUGGCGAGCAUCUCCAUGGUUACAGUUCUGAGGAGGUUAGGGUACAUGUAUAAUCUUCUUUGGCUUUGCAUCAACUUCUUAUACAACAGUUGGCAAACUUUUUGAGCUACAUUGUAUUGUUACAAGGUCGAGACUCAAAGGCACCUUCCUAGUCGCGAUGAGGAUGAUAAUAUUGAUGAAAUGAGCAAGAGAGGAUUAGAAAGGAUUGGAAUGUGUACUAGGAGUUUCAAAUUUUGGAUGUAAAGUAUUGUCCAGUACUUACAGAUAUUUAUUUUUUAUAUAUGAAUACUUAGUUUGUAUUAACUUUGAAAUGCAAUAUAUGACAGUUGAAUUGAAAUUUAUGUCAA